GGGGACAGUUUAGCCAGGGUUUGUUUCUAUUUUAGCUGACAGCAAUUUGCGUGCCGACCAGGAAACCAGGGGUGGGAUGAAAAUAGAGAAUUGCUCAUGGGCUUUUGCACUCAUGAUCCAACACCUGGCUGUUUCUCGGUGUCCAUUCCUGACUUAAAAACAAGAUAACAAAGGUAAAAAUGAAAAAAAAAAUGCAGAGUAGAGACUCUCCAAUAUGCCUGCUGCUGUUGAAAGACAUGGGGACAGCUCUGCUGAAGGAAUUUGCCAUCUGAGGAUGGUUCCUUUCUCCAGGAGGGCACCAUAAGAAGAGAGGGCAGAGCCCUGACAUCUGGGUCAUAGGCAAGUUGAUCUUUGGUUUUAUAUAAAUACCAUCUGGGGUGUUGGACUGUGUUGUUUAAAAAGUUUGAGAUAAAUCAUUUCUGGGUAAUUUAAUCAUUUUAUUAAUAAUGCCAGCAUUUUAAUAAAAAGAUAGUCAUUUGGC
rnacentral:lncRNA from 1 species